AGCAGAAUGCUCGUGGCUUCAUUUAAAAAAAAAUUUUUUUUUUAAUCACAAGGAAUGCUGUUGCAAAUUUAGUGUCUUCCUACUAUAACUACAAACUUAAAUUCACCAAAACAAUUUUUAACUUUAUACUAUGUAUAGUCAGUGUAGUAAAAGUAUAACAUAUUACUGCAGCAUUUGAUGUAUUAAUUUAAAAAUGACUCUAACUCUUAGAUUCUCCAAAGCAUUUAUUAUGGUAUGUGUUUAAGAUUUGAUUAACCGAAAGUUUGAUUAAUUUUCAAGUAAGUUUUUUUGAAGGGGAAUAGGAAGGAAGAAUAGGAAAAGAAGUUGAAAUCCAGCCCUAUUUGUGAAAAAGGAACCUCAAGAUACACCCUGGGUCAGUUUAAUCACCUUUACCUUCUUAUUUUAUAUUGCUGUAUAAUGAGACUUGACCUUGAGCUUUCUAAUCGUUAAUCCUCAAAGAUGGCCAUUAUUUUUAUUACUGAGUCUAACAUUUUGAGCAUUAACUAUGAACCAGAACCUAUUUUAAAUUAUUUGUAUGUAUUAACUCUCAGUUCUCACCACAAAGAUAUGUAUUAUAACUGCCCCCAUUUUACAUGUAGGGAAAAGGAGACUUCAUAAACAUCUUCAGCAACUUGCCCCAAAUUAUGCAGAAGUCAGAGCCUGCACGCUUAACUCCAAUACCAUAUAGCAUUAUGUUUACUAGCCAGUGCAAACUGAGCAACUAUCUGUCAAUGAACCAGCUUUUAUUGUAGUCCUACUCUGUCCUCUCCCCUGGGUGACUGCAGUCUCCCACUCCUAGAACCCACAUAACGCCCUCCCUUGAGUGGCCAGAUUCUCCCCUUGCACAGACUUCUUCCUUCCGCCGUGAAGCAUAUAUAGUUCUCUUCUAGCUAGGGGGGAAAAAAAGCCUUAUCAUAACCCUGUUACCCUCUCGAGCUGUCAUUAUUUUCUUCUUUUCACAGCCCCAGACCCACUGCAUCUUCUAGCCUUUGCACUCUGUGUUCCCUCAUACCAGCCGUCACCACUGGCCUUCCAUUUGCCCGCCAAGUAGCAGUUUCCCGGGCAUCAUUGUCAGGGACCUCUCUGCAGUCCUGAGGGUCUCUUCUUGGCUAUCCAUGAUCCUAUACUCUUGGGGUUUUCCUUUGCCUCCUUGGUCCCUGUGUCUGGCUCCUUUUUCCCCUCCUGUCCCUGAAUGUGGCUGUUCUGCAAGCAAGAAGGUGUCUCAGCAGCAAGGAUUUAAGGCAUGCACUGCGUGCUAUGAUGCCAGUUUUACUGUUGCUAAUGGAUUAAUCCACUGUGAGUGUGAUAACUCCUGUAUUCUGAAAGGGUUUCGCCAUUUUGGCCAGGCUGGUCUUGAACUCCUGACC